GCACAAGUCAUCAUCAAAACAUUAUUGAAAAAAAAAAAUAAUUAUAUGGUAACAAGUAAAUUCAUUUCAAGAUAAAAUCUUUUUACAAAUUAAAAAAAAAUAAUAAUUAUUAAGUGACACAUAAUCAUGUAAAUUCUACUGUCAUUAAAUUUUACAAUUAUGUUAAAAUUCUGAGCUGCUCAUUUAUUCUAUGUAACUGAAGGGGAAUGCAAACAAACUCCACACUUUACUUUUUUUUCUUCAGAUGUUCAUUUUAUUUCUCUACAGUUUUUUU